rnacentral:lncRNA from 1 species
AGGAAGUAGGGUUUGCCUUAGGUGAUUUGAAGUCUAAUAUCUUUCCCAAUGAGUUACACUCAUUUCCCAUCCAUCUAAUGGGCGCUGGCAGCGUGUUUCGAUUAUUCUUGGCUUCUGGCCUCCAUCCGACCAAAUAGCUGUUGCUACUCCUACAAGUUUUUCUGGUGCCCGUUAUCUCCACGACAGCCGAAUCCAAAGCUUUAAGAGCUGCUCGGCAGCUGGAACGAUCGGUGGCUUUUCCAACCCCGGGGGGGGGGCGGUGUGAAAGGUGACCCUCAUUUCGUUUGGAAGCGGUAACACUUCGGGGUCACAUCUCAGUCCAGUUCCUCCAGAAUAGGCGCUGCUGUCCGCCCCUUCCCUGCCCCACGAAAGAACAGGUAGCCCCAAUCUUGAGACACGCUCCUCCACCUUCGAAAUCUUCUCGGUCCCGGUUCCCCAGGACUCAGCCUUCACAGAGGCCAACUUCAGUGACUGUAUUUUUAAAUUCAUUGACACCCAAAUUCUAUGUGGCACUUACAGGGACCUCUUCAUUGAUAUCAGGACUAAUAUUUAUAUUUGAAUGGUGGUACUUCCAUAAGCAUGGCACAUCUUUUAUUGAGCAAGUAUCUGUAAGCCAUUUGCAACCACUGAUGGGAGGAACAGAGAGCAGCAUUUCAGAACCAGGUUCUCCUUCGAGGAACAGAGAAAAUGAAACCAGCAGACAGAAUUUGUCAGAAUGUAAGGUAUGGAGAAACCCUCUAAAUCUUUUCAGAGGAGCAGAAUAUAGGAGAUACACUUGGGUGACUGGUAAAGAGCCACUUACAUACUAUGACAUGAACCUGUCAGCUCAGGACC